UCCUGUCUUUGUCCAAGCCAUUGCCUCCAAGUUCCAACACAAAUUUUGUUUCCUCCAGGAAGGAUUUCUUGAUUCCUCCCAUCUUUGUUGAUCUCCGCCUCUCCUGAAUCUCAACAGGAUGAACAGGCUUCAGUGUGCUGUCCACCCUGGAUCAUGUGGCCUUGCAUUGUUUGGAGGAUUAGUCUUGGUUUUCCAGCUAAACCACAUACCUCUGAAGAGCAGGGACCAGAGAAUAUUCUCCUGGACGCCUGACCCAAACACCUACUGUUUUGAUGUAAACAAACUUUUCUCUCUUGUGUUCACAUCUAGUCUCAGUGUCUUGUGUGUUCUUGUCCUUGAAGGAUUAACUAAACUCGACCUAGCUUUUAUUGUCCUAGUAAAUAGUUCAAAAUUCCCUG
rnacentral:lncRNA from 1 species